UGCAAGUCGCGCGCGAAUGGAGCAAUCCUAGUAGAGCGGCGAACGGGUGCGUAACACGUGGGUAAUCUGCCUGAAAGCCCGGAAUAACCUGCCGAAAGGCAAGCUAAUACCGGAUAAGCUCACGAGGUCUUCGGACCUCGAGAGAAAAGGUGGCCUCUGUAUACAAGCUACCGCUUUCAGAUGAGCCCGCGGCCCAUCAGCUUGUUGGCGGGGUAAUGGCCCACCAAGGCUACGACGGGUAGCUGGUCUGAGAGGACGAUCAGCCACACUGGAACUGAGACACGGUCCAGACUCCUACGGGAGGCGGCAGUGGGGAAUUUUGCGCAAUGGGCGAAAGCCUGACGCAGCAACGCCGCGUGUGUGAUGAAGGUCUUCGGAUCGUAAAGCACUUUCGACCGGGACGAAAACCUGUUGGCUAACAUCCAGCAGCUUGACGGUACCGGGAGAAGAAGCACCGGCUAACUCUGUGCCAGCAGCCGCGGUAAUACAGAGGGUGCAAGCGUUGUUCGGAAUUAUUGGGCGUAAAGCGCGUGUAGGCGGCUUUGCAAGUCGGGUGUGAAAGCCCUCAGCUCAACUGAGGAAGGGCGCCCGAAACUGCAUGGCUUGAGUACCAGAGAGGAUGGCGGAAUUCCCGAAGUAGAGGUGAAAUUCGUAGAUAUCGGGGGGAACACCGGUGGCGAAGGCGGCCAUCUGGAUGGAUACUGACGCUGAGACGCGAAAGCGUGGGUAGCAAACAGGAUUAGAUACCCUGGUAGUCCACGCCGUAAACGAUGAGAACUAGUGUUGUGGGUGUGACCCCCGCGGUGCCGUAGCUAACGCAUUAAGUUCUCCGCCUGGG
rnacentral:rRNA from 1 species